AGUUGGAGAGGUAACGGCUCACCAAGGCGAUGAUGGGUAGCCGGCCUGAGAGGGUGAUCGGCCACAAGGGGACUGAGACACGGCCCUUACUCCUACGGGAGGCAGCAGUGGGGAAUAUUGGACAAUGGACCGGGAGUCUGAUCCAGCAAUUCUGUGUGCACGAUGAAGUUUUUCGGAAUGUAAAGUGCUUUCAGUUGGGAAGAAAUAAAUGACGGUACCAACAGAAGAAGUGACGGCUAAAUACGUGCCAGCAGCCGCGGUAAUACGUAUGUCACGAGCGUUAUCCGGAUUUAUUGGGCGUAAAGCGCGUCUAGGUGGUUAUAUAAGUCUGAUGUGAAAAUGCAGGGCUCAACUCUGUAUUGCGUUGGAAACUGUAUAACUAGAGUACUGGAGAGGUAAGCGGAACUACAAGUGUAGAGGUGAAAUUCGUAGAUAUUUGUAGGAAUGCCGAUGGGGAAGCCAGCUUACUGGACAGAUACUGACGCUGAAGCGCGAAAGCGUGGGUAGCAAACAGGAUUAGAUACCCUGGUAGUCCACGCUGUAAACGAUGAUUACUAGGUGUUGGGGGUCGAACCUCAGCGCCCAAGCAAACGCGAUAAGUAAUCCGCCUGGGGAGUACGUACGCAAGUAUGAAACUCAAAGGAAUUGACGGC
rnacentral:rRNA from 1 species